UCCAGACUCCUACGGGAGGCAGCAGUGAGGAAUAUUGGUCAAUGGGCGCGAGCCUGAACCAGCCAAGUCGCGUGAAGGAUGACGGCCCUACGGGUUGUAAACUUCUUUUGUCAGGGAGCAAUUGAGUCCACGUGUGGGCUUAGCGAGAGUACCUGAAGAAAAAGCAUCGGCUAACUCCGUGCCAGCAGCCGCGGUAAUACGGAGGAUCCGAGCGUUAUCCGGAUUCAUUGGGUUUAAAGGGUGCGUAGGUUGUUUUAUAAGUUAGCGGUGAAAUACCGAUGCUCAACAUCGGGGCUGCCGCUAAUACUGUAGGACUAGAGAUCGGAUGCAGCAGGCGGAAUGUGUAGUGUAGCGGUGAAAUGCAUAGAUAUUACACAGAACACCGAUUGCGAAGGCAGCUUGCUAGGCCGGGUCUGACACUGAUGCACGAAAGCGUGGGGAUCGAACGGGAUUAGAUACCCUCGUA
rnacentral:rRNA from 1 species